GGUGAGAAUCCUGUCCACCGUAAGACUAAGGUUUCCAGGGGAAGGCUCGUCCGCCCUGGGUUAGUCGGGACCUAAGGAGAGACCGAAAGGUGUAUCCGAUGGACAACAGGUUGAUAUUCCUGUACUAGAGUAUGUAGUGAUGGAGGGACGCAGUAGGCUAACUAAAGCAGACGAUUGGAAGAGUCUGUCUAAGCAGUGAGGUGUGAAUUGAGUCAAAUGCUUAAUUCUAUAACAUUGAGCUGUGAUGGGGAGCGAAGUUUAGUAGCGAAGUUAGUGACGUCACACUGCCAAGAAAAGCUUCUAGCGUUUAAACAUACUCUACCCGUACCGCAAACCGACACAGGUAGUCGAGGCGAGUAGCCUCAGGUGAGCGAGAGAACUCUCGUUAAGGAACUCGGCAAAAUGACCCCGUAACUUCGGGAGAAGGGGUGCUGACUUUAAGUCAGCCGCAGUGAAUAGGCCCAAGCAACUGUUUAUCAAAAACACAGCUCUCUGCUAAAUCGUA
rnacentral:rRNA from 1 species